rnacentral:lncRNA from 1 species
UUCACGUAAUUCUUUCAACUCCGUCUCAAGCGCUGAGGAGGCCUUGCACUCGCACCCAUCCUUUCUUGCAGCCCCUUCACCUGUUGACUUCUCAGGACCAGCUGAACGGUAACUUACUUCCUUUGACAACAAACUGAACACGAACAAAAAAUACAAAGAUUGUUAGCAUUCGUACAGAGGGUAAGAAUCAGAUUGUCUUAUAUUUAUUCUAAAUAUUCAGAUCGGUGAUGCAAUUUCUGUAAGAAUGAGUGAAGGACAAAAUCAUGUAUAAAACUAUUCACUGAGCAUAUAUACCUUUACUUUGACAGCACAUGGUUGUCAGGACACAAUUAUGGUAGCAUGACGCAAACCAUUAAAAAAAUCUAAGAAAUGGAACAUGGAAAAUUUGUAAUUGGUAAUUCCUUGUUAAAUCGUAAAAAUUAUAUAUCCUAUUUCAGAUGUUAGAUUCAAGAAGACAAAUAAUUCAACAUUGUCAAUUAGGAAAUCUACCACAUCUACCCACCUCUUAAGCUGGUUCUUAUACAUGUCAUUUGCCUCUAAAGCUUCGGCAAGUUCAUUCUCAAGAUUCUGAAUCUUUGACAAAUGAUCCACUCCUUUAUCUUGAGAAGUUUCAUUAUUGCAGUUUUGACUCUUAUCAAUCUGAAACAAAAAAGAGUAAUAAUAUAAGGUGCUUGAGCAGUUUGUUUCUUCCCAGUCAGACAUAACCUCUACAAACUGAUGGCCCAAUCUAAAAGAUUAAGAUCACCUAGCAUGGAUUUUUAAAAAAAUAAAAAAAAAAAACGUAUACAUUAACCUGUGUAUGAUUUUCCUCUAAAUGAUGUUGUACUUGGUUGAUUCCAGUGAACAGCUUCUCACUUGAUAGCAGGUUAUUGUUCUCUUCUAUGCUCUGCCGUUUCAGAAGCAAAAAUUACAAAUCCUUAAAAAAUCUUUAAUGAAGUCAAGUACAUAAUGAGAAAGGAAAAUUCUUAACUCUAACUAUCUGAGAGAUUCAAAUUAUUAUUGAUAGAAGUAUUAACUCUAACUGUCUGAGAGAUUCAAAUUAUUAUUGAUAGAUGUACUUGUAUACUUGGAAUUAGGGUAAAAAAGAGACUCACAUUCUUGGACUCGCAUUGAUCCUGUUUAAUCUGUUUCAGUUCAUCUUCAAGAGCUUGAGUUUUCUUCAGGCACUCUUCUUUCUCCUCCUCAAGGUACUUUAUCUUCCUCUGGAAUUGGCUGUUUUCUCUUCUAAUUUGGGCUAGCUCGUUUUUCAGUGCAGCUUCUUGAGUUCCCAUGGCUUCUUUUGCAGUUAAAUCACCCUGUAGCCGUAAGACCUUUUCUUCAAGGGCAACUUUCCUACGUCUGCAAUCCUCUAAGUCAGAAACAGCUUCCUGACUAUUAGAGAUUUUCUGAACAAAAAGGGUUCUUUCAACCUUAAGUUCUUCAU